AUUGAACGCUGGCGGCAUGCCUUACACAUGCAAGUCGAACGGUAACAGGUCUUCGGAUGCUGACGAGUGGCGAACGGGUGAGUAAUACAUCGGAACGUGCCCGAUCGUGGGGGAUAACGGAGCGAAAGCUUUGCUAAUACCGCAUACGAUCUACGGAUGAAAGCAGGGGACCGCAAGGCCUUGCGCGGACGGGGCGGCCGAUGGCAGAUUAGGUAGUUGGUGGGAUAAAAGCAUACCAAGCCGACGAUCUGUAGCUGGUCUGAGAGGACGACCAGCCACACUGGGACUGAGACACGGCACAGACUCCGACGGGAGGCAGCAGUGGGGAAUUUUGGACAAUGGGCGAAAGCCUGAUGCAGCCAUGCCGCGUGGAGGAAGAAGGCCUUCGGGUUGUAAACUGCUUUUGGAGGGAAGGAAAAGACGCGAGUUAAUAACUGGGGGCAAGGACGGUACCGGAAGAAGAAGCACCGGCUAACUACGUG
rnacentral:rRNA from 1 species